rnacentral:lncRNA from 10 species
GGAGAAGACGCUGCCAGCUGAUACCAGUGUCUCUAUGCAGAGACAUUUCCAGGACACCACGUUAAGCAGCAGAGACACAAGAAGUCAAGGCCCAUGUGCUCUGGUGUGGACGUGUGCCUCCUGUGCCUCAGUGGCAUCAUCUGUACCAUGGGAGGUGUGUAAUGAGGGGUGUGAUCACGUCUGCAAGGGCACGUACAUAGUAGAUGCCCAGGAAGUGCCAGUCCCCAUCUCCUUCCCAGUUUCUGCAGAGCCUUCUGGAAGGCACUGGCAUAGCCCAGUCCUGAGGCAUUGCUUUUUCUUUCAUGAAUGAUCAGGAGCUUCUGUGAUUUCUUCCCCCUCACUCUUCAUUUUGCCAAGAUGUCGCCCAUAGUAACCUCAGCAGUGGAGCGGGGAUUCUGCACUGUUCCAUUGCCCGGGGCUGCACAUCCACGUGAGCGGGGCCGACCCGUCCCAGAACGCUUUGCCCUCGGAAGGCAGCAUCACCUGCAGGGGCAAUGCUGUGGACAGCUCUGGCAUGUCCUCCAGGGCCCUGGCAUGGUCAGUGAGAAAAGGCCCCCAGGAGUGGGCUUCUCCCAACAGUCAGGUUCAGAAGGCCUCCUGGGGCACGCACCCUCUGUCGUUGUUGCCCAAGGUGAUGUCAUGUUCAUUCUAAAGGCCGCGGUUCCAAGGGGACUACACCACAAGAAGAUGCCUUCAGAAAGACCCAGAUUUCCUGCGGUCUCAGGUAGGCGGCAGGGAGCAAGAGAACAAGGAAAGGACCCGCCGCCACUCUCCUCAAGAUGGAUGCUGCAUGAUGUAAGUGGCUGGCUAAAAUAUCUGGCAUCCUUGCAGUUUUAAGUUGCCAGCUAAAUAUUAUUAAAAAGAUAAAAUACACGCAAACUGUGCAGAAUGCAGGGCUGCUGUGUUUACAUCCGGGUUUUGAUGACUCAAAUACUUACACUAGGGCUUGCUGAAAAGCUCUAUUAAAAACACCGCUUUGUGAAAGCCCCCAGGGAGCAGGAAGAAAGCUGGGGGUGUGAAAGAGGAGAGCGGGAGGAUGGUGACCCACCCAAGGACGGCCCUGAGACCUGUGCUCCGGGCUGGCACUUAAGGCCAAGGAAGUACUUAGAGGUUAACCUCCUCUCAGCCUCGGAACCAGAGCGGGGAGGGUUAACCUUUUUCCAGAACAUUUAUUUCACCAUCUCACUGACUAGAGGGAGGAGGGGCGGGAGGGAGAGAGCGAGAGCCUGCCGCGCAGAGAGGCUGCGGAUCACAAGGCCAUUCUGAUAGCCUCCUGUCCCCAUGGCAACUGCAACGGCAUUUAUCAGUUCCUUCUGCGCACAGGCACAGCAAAUCUGCAUUGCACAUGGCAGGCUUCCAGCAUUUCAAAUGAAAGAGCACUUUGAACGGCUGCCAAGUUUGGAAGGAGCAGAACUGUCAGGGCUGCUUAAAGCUGGCAGUUUAUACUGGGGAGGUUUUCGCUUCCCAGAAUCCUCCGGGCCUGGCGAGCCGCCAAGUACUUAGCGGAAGCUAAAAAGUAACUCGCUCCCCUCCCUCCCCUCCCCUCCCCC